rnacentral:tRNA from 1 species
GGGGGUGUAGCUCAGUUAAAGAGUGUAUGCUUAGCCUGCUCAAACCUCUGGGUUCAAUUCCCAGUGCCCCCA